GAAAUGCGAUAAGUAGUGUGAAUUGCAGAAUUCAGUGAAUCAUCGAAUCUUUGAACGCACAUUGCGCCCCUCGGUAUUCCGUUGGGCAUGCCUGUUCGAGCGUCAUCUACACCCUCAAGCUCUGCUUGGUGUUGGGCGUCUGUCCCGCCUCCGCGCGCGGACUCGCCCCAAAUGCAUUGGCAGCGGUUCCUUGCCCCCCUCUUUGCGCAGCACAUUGCCAUUCGAGGCGGCGGCGGCCCGCGUCCAACAAGCUCAACCCCCCCGUCUUUGACCUCGGAUCAGGUAGGGAUACCCGCUGAACUUAAGC
rnacentral:misc_RNA from 1 species